GUAGGUGGCAAGCGUUGUCCGGAAUUAUUGGGCGUAAAGCGCGCGCAGGCGGUUCUUUAAGUCUGAUGUGAAAGCCCACGGCUCAACCGUGGAGGGUCAUUGGAAACUGGAGAACUUGAGUACAGAAGAGGAAAGCGGAAUUCCACGUGUAGCGGUGAAAUGCGUAGAGAUGUGGAGGAACACCAGUGGCGAAGGCGGCUUUCUGGUCUGUAACUGACGCUAAGGCGCGAAAGCGUGGGGAGCAAACAGGGAUUAGAUACCCUGGUAGUCCACGCCGUAAACGAUGAGUGCUAAGUGUUAGGGGGGUUUCCGCCCCCUUAGUGCUGCAGCUAACGCAUUAAGCACUCCGCCUGGGGAGUACGGCCGCAAGGCUG
rnacentral:rRNA from 1 species